AUUGAACGCUGGCGGCAGGCCUAACACAUGCAAGUCGAGCGGAUGAAGGGAGCUUGCUCCUGGAUUCAGCGGCGGACGGGUGAGUAAUGCCUAGGAAUCUGCCUGGUAGUGGGGGAUAACGUCCGGAAACGGGCGCUAAUACCGCAUACGUCCUGAGGGAGCAAGUGGGGGGUCUUCGGACCUCACGCUAUCAGAUGAGCCUAGGUCGGAUUAGCUAGUUGGUGGGGUAAAGGCCUACCAAGGCGACGAUCCGUAACUGGUCUGAGAGGAUGAUCAGUCACACUGGAACUGAGACACGGUCCAGACUCCUACGGGAGGCAGCAGUGGGGAAUAUUGGACAAAGGGCGAAAGCCUGAUCCAGCCAUGCCGCGUGUGUGAAGAAGGUCUUCGGAUUGUAAAGCACUUUAAGUUGGGAGGAAGGGCAGUAAGUUAAUACCUUGCUGUUUUGACGUUACCAACAGAAUAAGCACCGGCUAACUUCGUG
rnacentral:rRNA from 1 species